rnacentral:misc_RNA from 1 species
AUUAGUGUAUGCUUUUUUUUUAUUCACAAUAUAUUUACGUUAUAUAUUCACUGUAUAUAUACGUAUUGUGCAUAACGAUGGCUGACAGUAAAUGCAUACAGAUGAUUCAAACAAAUUUUUCAUUAUACGGCUUGGUAUUAUCAAGAGAGCUUAGAGUAUCUUUUGCAAAGCAAUUGUUAAAAAUACCACAAAAUGAACGUGAAUCUUGGCUUAAUCGUAUUAUAGAACUGAUUUUGGCUCAAAAUUUGGAUGAUCCACAUGUUGGAGCCGAACAUAUAAAAAUUGCUAUAGAAGAAUGCUUAGAACCAAAUAAAUUGAAAGACACAGAAACAGUGUUCAAUGUUAUAGAUGGAUAUAAUAUACCAAAGAUAAAAUAUGAUAUUUCUAAAAAGAAAUUUGUCAUUGACAAUGAGAACUCAUAUCCUGAAACUCAAUAUAAAUCAUUGGUUUUUAAAUAUCGUUUUGAAAUGGCAUGGUAUAAAACUCUAAGACACAAACAAUUUCUGUCAUCUAAAUUUGAAAAACAGCAAACACAUAAAACAAAUUUAAUACCUAUUGAAUAUCUGUUAAGUGAGCUGAGAACAGGGAAUGUAUGUAUAAUGGGUCUGAUAACACAAUUAAUGGAAGAUCAAUAUUAUCUAGAAGAUACAAGUGGAACUGUCAAGAUUGACCUCAGCAAUACAGAUUUUCAAGAUACUUUUAUCAUGGAAGGCUUUAUAGUAAUAGCUAAUGGUGUUUACAAGGAUGAUGUAUUACAUGUAAAAACUAUUGACCUUCCGCCAAUAGAAUCGUCGGAAAGUUUGCGAUCAGAUUUUGGCGACACAAAUACAUUUGGUGGCUCACAUAAUAUAUCCCUAAAAAUGUCAGAAAAAUUACAAAUCCACGAAGAAACUAACCAGGAUGGAAUGAUAGUAUUCAUAGCAGAAUUAUGGUUGGAUGUUCCACAUGUUUUACAAAAAUUUAAGACAAUACUGGAUGGUUACAUGGAUUAUCCUCCUAUAGCUUUUGUAUUGUGUGGUCAUUUUUUAAGCUUUCCUACAAAUAUAACUAGUGCGAAAACUUUGAUAACUGGUUUUAAAAAUUUAGUUGAAAUAAUAACACAAUAUACAAGUAUAAAGGAAUUUACGAAAUUUAUUUUUGUACCUGGCCCACAUGAUUUAGGUUCUCCUAAAAUUUUACCAAAACCUCCUUUGCCCAAAUGCAUUAUUGAAGAAGUUACAAAAAUGAUACCAAACGCUAUUUUUACAACAAAUCCAUGUAGAAUACAGUAUUGUACAAAGGAAAUUGUAAUAUUAAGAGAAGAUAUGUUGACAAAAAUGUGUAGGAAUGCGCUUCAUUUUCCGAAAGAAGAACACUUUUUUAAACAUUUUGCCAAAGCCAUCAUCAGUCAAUCACAUCUGACCCCAGUGCCUCUUCAAGUUGUUCCAGUAUAUUGGAAAUAUGACCAUGCUUUACAGAUAUUUCCAACACCAGAUCUCAUUGUGAUUGCUGACAAUUUUGAAACAUAUACGACUAACUAUUCCGAUUGUUAUGUGAUAAAUCCCGGAAUGUUCGCGAAAAACAAUUAUUCGUUUCAAUCUUAUGUGCCUGCCAUUAAUCAAAUUCAAGAUUGUCAACUUCCAAACGACAUCAAUGUUACUUAAAUCGAGAAGGAAUAUAUUUAUAACUUCAUAAACAGGGGCGUGCCUAGUAUAUGCAUUUAUGUGUAAUGUGUGCCAAAGCUAGAGGUAACCGAAGCACGCCUCUGAUCAUGAACAUAUCUUUUUCUAAUUACCUGCUUUUCUUAUAUCUCCUACAUUAGAGGGGAUGACAAGAAUAUGUAUCAAAUUUGGACACAGAUGGAAUAGGACACAGAUGGUACAGACUGGGCCCCAAUUUAUUUCAAUUUUGUUGCGCUGGAAGUAUAAGUCAAUUACUGGCCGUAAUAAAUCAAAUACGUUUUUUAAGCGUAAAAAGUUGUUAAUGUCCAAUCGUAAUAUUACAACAUGAUAAUACUAACAUCUUGUGUGAGCAAUAUAAUUUUAUCCUUUAGCAACUAGUUGCUUUGAUACUAAAAAAUAUAGCGCAUACAGAUA